UACAGGAGGGUGCAAGCGUUAAUCGGAAUUACUGGGCGUAAAGCGCGCGUAGGUGGUUUGUUAAGUUGAAUGUGAAAUCCCCGGGCUCAACCUGGGAACUGCAUGCAAAACUGGCAAGCUAGAGUAUGGUAGAGGGUGGUGGAAUUUCCUGUGUAGCGGUGAAAUGCGUAGGAUAUAGGAAGGAACACCAGUGGCGAAGG
rnacentral:rRNA from 1 species